UACGUAGGCAGCGAGCGUUGUUCGGAAUUACUGGGCGUAAAGGGCGCGUAGGCGGUUUUGUGCGUUAGAUGUGAAAGACCCAGGCUUAACCUGGGAAGUUGCAUUUAAUACGGCAGAACUAGAGGACGAGAGAGGAAAGUGGAAUGAUGCAUGUAGAGGUGAAAUUCGUAGAUAUGCAUUGGAACACCAGUGGCGAAGGCGACUUUCUGGCUCGUAACGUGACGCUAAGGCGCGAAAGCGUGGGGAGCAAACAGG
rnacentral:rRNA from 1 species